UACGGCUACAACACGUUGAAACAACGAGUCUCGUACGAUUACCGAAGUUAAGCAAUGUCAAGCGUGGUCAGUAUCUAGAUGGGUGACUGUUUGGGAAUUCCAGGUGCU